AGAGUUUGAUCCUGGCUCAGGAUGAACGCUAGCGGCAGGCUUAAUACAUGCAAGUCGAGGGGCAGCAGGUCUGUAGCAAUACAGAUGCUGGCGACCGGCAAACGGGUGCGGAACACGUACACAACCUUCCUUCGAGCGGGGAAUAGCCCAGAGAAAUUUGGAUUAAUACCCCAUAGUAUAUUGGUUAGGCAUCUAACUAUUAUUAAAGAUUUAUCACUUGAAGAUGGGUGUGCGGCUGAUUAGAUAGUUGGCGGGGUAACGGCCCACCAAGUCUGCGAUCAGUAACUGGUGUGAGAGCACGACCAGUCACACGGGCACUGAGACACGGGCCCGACUCCUACGGGAGGCAGCAGUAAGGAAUAUUGGUCAAUGGACGCAAGUCUGAACCAGCCAUGCCGCGUGGAGGAUGAAGGUCCUCUGGAUUGUAAACUUCUUUUAUCUGGGACGAAAAAGGGCCUUUCUAGGUCAACUGACGGUACCAGAUGAAUAAGCACCGGCUAACUCCGUGCCAGCAGCCGCGGUAAUACGGAGGGUGCAAGCGUUAUCCGGAUUCACUGGGUUUAAAGGGUGCGUAGGUGGGUUGGUAAGUCAGUGGUGAAAUCUCCGAGCUUAACUUGGAAACUGCCAUUGAUACUAUCAGUCUUGAAUAUUGUGGAGGUUAGCGGAAUAUGUCAUGUAGCGGUGAAAUGCUUAGAUAUGACAUAGAACACCAAUUGCGAAGGCAGCUGGCUACGCAUAUAUUGACACUGAGGCACGAAAGCGUGGGGAUCAAACAGGAUUAGAUACCCCAGUAGUCC
rnacentral:rRNA from 1 species